GGUGGUGGAGGCCGGGGGCCUGAGGGCCUCCGGGGCGCCCGCGGGCGGCGACGGCGGGCGGGCAGGGGUCCAGCCGGAGCCGGAGUGGGGCGAGCGGAGCGGCCUGCGCGGGCCAGGUGGGGGUGUGCGGCGGGAGGGGGGGGCGCCGGUAGGCCUCGGGCCGGUAGGCCCCACGGCAGCCGCGCCCUGCCCCCGCACCCCGGGCCUCCGCGCGCCCCCUCGAGUCCCCCGGGGUCUCCGGGUGGGACGGCGGCGCUGCUGGGCCGAAUCCCGCGCCGGCCCGGAGGCUUUCCCGCGGGGCGGCAGGCCCGGGCUGCCGGGACAGGGGCGUCAGGGCCUAGGAGUGGGGAGUGGGGAAUGGGCGCCCGGCUCCCCUUCCCCCGGGUCUCUCGCAGACGGCCCCCAGAUUCCGACAAUCUGCUUCAUCCUGAUUCUGCGGCAUUCCAAACUGUGGUAUCCUUGGGGGUUCUCUUAACAUUGCUAUGGUGCAGAAGAUUUAAAAUCAGCUGAUGUUCACAAGGAAUAGAGUCACGUGAUGUAUGAAGGGAAACAUAUACACUUCUCUGAGGUUGACAAUAAGCCCUUGUGCUCAUAUAGCCCCAAACUGUGCAAGCAGAGGCGACUCAACGGCUACGCCUUCUGUAUCAGACACGUUCUGGAGGACAAGACUGCCCCCUUCAAGCAAUGUGAAUAUGUGGCCAAGUAUAACAGCCAACGCUGCACCAACCCCAUCCCCAAAUCAGAGGAUCGUAGGUACUGCAACAGCCACUUGCAGGUACUUGGCUUUAUCC
rnacentral:lncRNA from 1 species